rnacentral:rRNA from 1 species
AUGGCGGCAAAGAAACAUCUUUUUUGCUUUGGGUCUUUCGCGAUAAAGGACGGGACAGAGAUUCGUUUCUGGGAAGACAUCUGGCUAGGCAAUGCCAGUCUUCGAGAACAAUAUCCAGCCUUGUACAUCAUUGCUCGCGAGAAGAAUAAUACUAUUGCGCAGGUGCUCAGUUCAUCCCCGCCGAAUAUUUCGUUCAGGCGGGAUUUGAUUGGGCCUCGCCUUACGUCAUGGCAUAAUCUAUUGUCCAAGCUGGAUUCGAUUAACCUGACACAAGGCCGAAAUGUGUUUCGCUAGAACCUUACUACAUCGGGGUCUUUCACAGUAGACUCCAUGUAUCGUGCACUCACGCAUUCUGAGGUACCGAUGAAUAAUAAUAAGUGUUGGAAAUAUGCCCUAGAGGCAAUAAUAAAAUGGUUAUUAUUAUAUUUCCUUGUUCAUGAUAAUUGUCUAUUGUUCAUGCUAUAA